rnacentral:rRNA from 1 species
CCAGACUCCUACGGGAGGCAGCAGUGGGGAAUAUUGGACAAUGGGGGGAACCCUGAUCCAGCGACGCCGCGUGAGUGAAGAAGUAUUUCGGUAUGUAAAGCCCUAUCAGCAGGGAAGAAAGAAAUGACGGUACCUGAAUAAGAAGCACCGGCUAAAUACGUGCCAGCAGCCGCGGUAAUACGUAGGGGGCAAGCGUUAUCCGGAUUUACUGGGUGUAAGGGAGCGUAGACGGCUGUGCAAGUCAGAAGUGAAAGCCCGGGGCUCAACCGCGGGACUGCUUUUGAAACUGUGUAGCUGGAGUGCAGGAGAGGUAAGUGGAAUUCCUAGUGUAGCGGUGAAAUGCGUAGAUAUUAGGAGGAACACCGGUGGCGAAGGCGGCUUACUGGACUGUAACUGACGUUGAGGCUCGAAAGCGUGGGGAGCAAACAGGAUUAGAUACCCCGGUA